GGGGGGUCGCGGCAUUAAAAAGGUUAAGAACCACUGGGCUAGAGGGAUCUCCUGCUUGAAUAGGAGAUUGGACUAGAUUAGAAGACCUCCAAGGUCCCUUCCAAUCCUAUUAUUCUAUGUUCUGGUCAAAUCCCAGCAACUUGAUAAUUAGCCAUAUAGUAUGGUGCUUCUGGGAAUUGCAUUUUAGUAAUGUUUGGAGAGACACAUCAUGCAAGCUGCAACACUGUUCACUUUCUGGUUUCCUUUCAGCAGGGGUGCAUAUCAGAAUCUUUAUGUCUUUGCUUUGGGCUACCUAGUAAAUGUAUCUAACAUAUACAUCAUCUGAAGGGUUGAGGCUGCAACUUAAUCUUUUGAUCACUGGAGGACCACAUGAAGUGAUGCUGAGAAGUCAUCAAACUGGUCAUAACUGAUUUUUUAAGUCUGUUUUUAAGAGGCUUUGGAUGAGCAUAAGAUAUGAAAGUCUUCUGGAGGAACAUGGUUUACAUUCUUAAUUUUUAACCAUAAUGAAACCUAGAAACAAGCUGAUUGAGGGGCUUUUUGGGGCGGUUAUAGUAGCUUUCAGAAAUAAGACUCUCAGAAGACACUAGUUCCAUUAUUCCAAUAUUUAAGGUUACCUCAAAACCUUAAAAAGUGGGCCGAAUCAUACAGUCAGUUUUAGUCAUAAAUAUUUUAUUGCCCUUUCCAAUCCCUUAGUACUCUGAGCAAUUUGUAGUAAAAUCCUACAGGUGCCUACCUACUCAGAAAUAUUAAAUUCAAGAGACUCCUGUGCAAGUGUAUACAGGAUUCUGGUUUCUGUGCUGUUUUUGUUAGGCAAAAAUGAAAAUUUAUAAAUAAAAAUAAUACUUCAAAAUAUUUUAUCAUAAUUAUUGCUGCCUUUAAUGUACCUAUAAUUAAAUAUGUAGUGCUAAUGUGGCUUGCAUUAAUUGCAACUUUGAUUUACCUAUUAAGUAGAUAUAAUUAAGCAACCAGAAUAGUCUGGUUUAAUCUGUUUAUGAAAAUCAUUUAGAUACAGUCAAGGAAUGCUAAUGAAUUCACCUAAAUUUGAAGUGAAAUUUGUAGCAAACUAAGUUGAAGGGAAAUGAGAAAAUGAGAAGAAAAACAAACUUUCAUAGCAUAACUUUUUAUCCCUCAAAUGUAGCUAUCUCAUUUAGUUCUUACUUUUGGAAAAUUACUACAGUAUUGGUAAUUUCCAGUUUAACUUGUAACCAGCACACUAUAAUCAAGUCCUAUAUCCAGAUCAGAGCAAGCAUCCAUGCCACUUAGUUAAGUUAGUUUAAAAAAACACAUAACCCCUUGAUGUUUAUUCUGAAAAUAUUGGGAAAUAUCAAAUCUGAAACUAUAUACAAAAAUCAAAUAAAAGCAAUGAGGAGAGGCAUGAAGAACAUAUAAGAGAUUUUAAAAAGGCACAUUAUCUAUACAAAAAGACACAGAAUGUUCCAGAUCACAGGAAAUAAUGUCAUUAAUUAGCAUAAAUAGUCCUAAAGAAAAUAAUUAACACUUUUAUGUACAUAACAGCAACAUAACAGAGAGGGAAAGUGGGACACCAUGUGAUUGCUCCUACAUUUUGCACCAUAAAGGGAAUAAUUAGAUGGACAGAGGUAUGACGUAUCACACAGACAAUGGAAAAGUUUCAACAGUCUGAUCCUACAAGGGGAAGAAACAUCUGUUUGUUUCCAGCUAAACUGUACUGUGGGCGAUCUUCAUUCUGACCUAAUGAACUCUGGUUAUAAUCCGUUAUCUUAAAAAAAUGUAUUGCUGUUGUUUUAAAGUUUAUAUACAGUGAAUUACAACAAUUUUCCACCGUCUGUUGGAAAAUGUUUGAACUAGAACUACCAUUAUUUCUGCAUUAAUAAUACAUGUGUGGGAUAGAACAAACAGUCCUUGCUUACUAACCACUCAUUCAGCAACUAUUCAAAAUUAUGAUGGCAUUGAAAAAUAGAUAUAUGACUGGUCUUUGAAGUUGCAUAGAAAUACGUACACAUAUACAAGUUUAUUUCUUCCAUAAGUAUUUUCCUUUUAAAUGUUAAAACGUUUGUUUUUCUAAAGGAAGAAUCACUAAAUUAUCUACAAUCCAAAUACUAUCAUUUGAUAUGUAACUCACAGAAAAAGAGAAAAUGUACUUGGAAACAAAACAUUUAUGAUUGUUUGCAGUGUCCCACAGUCACAUGACUGUGAUUUAUGAUAUUUUUUUUGCCAAAAAACGGCACUUACUUGUAAUUUUUGGACAAGUAGAGAAAAAUGGGCUUAUUUAGCAAUUGCAAUAUUCACUUAAUGCCUCAUUCCGGCUGCAAGUCGAGAACUACCUACAACCAGUUUGAUGUGGUAGUGAGAACACUAGGCUAGAAACCAGGAAUUGCAAAUUCUAGUUCUGCUUUAGGCAGGAAAGCCAGCUGGGUGACUCUGGGCCAAUCAUUUUCUCUUAACCCAACCUAUCUUACAGGUUGGUUGUUGUGGGUAAAAUAGGUGGAGGAAGGAGUAUUAAGUAUGUUCGCCACCUUUAUUUAUUUAUAAAAAUAAUACAGGCAGGACGAAAAUUAAAUAAAUAAUAAAUUAAAAACUAGGCCUCCAGGCUCUAUUUUCCCAAAUGAGCUGAAAUCAACCUAAUUCAUUAUUGCCAUAUGAUGUCCUUUCCUCAAAAUCUUCAGGAAUAUGUGUGUGUCUCUCUUUCUCUCUUUUUGGUCCCUUCAUGUCAGUCUAACUCCUGACAACUGCCUGGGCAGAUCCCUGCAGUUUUCUUGACAAGUUUUUUGCCUUUGCCUCCUUCUUAGGUCUCAGAGAGAAUGAUCAAGAUUAUGCAGUUGUCUUUCAGCCUAAGGCAGAAGUAGAAUCUCCAGGAUACUAGCCUGGUGCUUUAACCAUCAUUCUGUUCAAGAAUGACUAGCAAAGCUGAAAAGAUGACCCAAUUUACUUCGGGGAGCUUCACAUUUUACUGUAGUUUCCAGCUGCUGUUAAGCUUAAUUAUCAGGCAGAAAAACACCAUCCCUGCUGUCUCAAAGACUGCUUAUCUGUGAUCAGCUUCCACAUGGUUGAGAAACACUGGUUUAAGAGAACAUUCCAAUGAAUCAACAGUACAGGAAGCAAAUGUUCAUAAGGGUUUCGAUGUCUGAUCCAAAUUCCCCCUGGAAAGAACCUUGCAAUUGAUUUUUGCCCAAGAGAUGAUGGGACAUUUAAAUAUUGUUCCUCAGUUUAGAUUUCAUUGGCAGCUGACUUUCAGCUGUUGUGUAAACAUAAUGUAAUUGUUCACAACCCAUACUCUGCUGUAGAAGAAGAUAUGGAGUGAUUUUUCAGAUGAAGGCAGGGGAAAU